GUCUACGGCCAUGCCGCCCUGAACAAGCACGACGUCUGAUCUUGGAAGCUAAGCAGGGUUGGGCCUGGCUAGUACUUGGAUGGGAGACCACCUAGUAUAAAUAGACAUCUAGCCAUUUCAUCUAGGAAGAUCAGGCGCUGUAGGCG
rnacentral:rRNA from 1 species